rnacentral:rRNA from 1 species
AUUUCGGGUAGCAAUAUCUGAAUGAGAGUGGCGCACGGGUGCGUAACACGUAUGCAAUCUGCCUCUGACUGGGGAAUAGCCUUCCGAAAGGAAGAUUAAUACCGCAUAAAAUAGUGAAGUGGCAUCAUUUUACUAUCAAAACUCUGGUGGUCAGAGAUGAGCAUGCGUCCGAUUAGCUAGUUGGCGGGGUAACGGCCCACCAAGGCAACGAUCGGUAGGGGGUCUGAGAGGAUGAUCCCCCACACUGGUACUGAGACACGGACCAGACUCCUACGGGAGGCAGCAGUAAGGAAUAUUGGGCAAUGGUCGCAAGACUGAUCCAGCCAUGCCGCGUGAAGGAUUAAGGCCCUAUGGGUUGUAAACUUCUUUUAAACGGGAAAAAACCCCUCUACGUGUAGAGGGCUGAUGGUACCGUAAGAAUAAGGAUCGGCUAACUUCGUGCCAGCAGCCGCGGUAAUACGAAGGAUUCGAGCGUUAUCCGGAUUUAUUGGGUUUAAAGGGUGCGUAGGUGGACUAAUAAGUCAGUGGUGAAAGCCCGCAGCUUAACUGCGGAACUGCCAUUGAUACUGUUAGUCUUGAGUACAGUUGAAGUGGGCGGAAUGUGUCAUGUAGCGGUGAAAUGCUUAGAUAUGACACAGAACACCGAUUGCGAAGGCAGCUCACUAAGCUGUAACUGACACUGAGGCACGAAAGCGUGGGGAGCAAACAGGAUUAGAUACCCUGGUAGUCCACGCCCUAAACGAUGAUUACUCGAUGUUGGCGAUACACUGUCAGCGUCUAAGCGAAAGCAUUAAGUAAU